rnacentral:rRNA from 1 species
UACGUAGGGUGCAAGCGUUAAUCGGAAUUACUGGGCGUAAAGCGUGCGCAGGCGGUUGUGCAAGACCGAUGUGAAAUCCCCGGGCUUAACCUGGGAAUGGCAUUGGUGACUGCACGGCUAGAGUGUGUCAGAGGGGGGUAGAAUUCCACGUGUAGCAGUGAAAUGCGUAGAGAUGUGGAGGAACACCCGGAUGGCGAAGGCAGCCCCCUGGGUCAAGAUUGACGCUCAUGCACGAAAGCGUGGGGAGCAAACAGG